GAGGAGGCUGCAAUGGAACUUUUUACCAUGUUUGUUAGGUAAAUCUUGGGGCGAGCAGUGGAUGGCUGAUGGCGUGGAUGGCCACGACGGAGUACUUGGUCAGCGGAUUACAUGGAGUGGAGUCGAUGAAGGGAGCUGUAGCAGAUCAAGGCGAAGAGUUAGAGAGAUAGGUUAAGAGAUAGGUUAAGAGGAAGAAAUUGUACCGUUAACGCAAAUUGUGAUGGGAUAGACGGUAUCAGCCAAUAAAUUGUUUACGCGGGGCAAACAUUUGCAAUAGUUUCUCGUUCCGUGGUAGCAGUGGUAUCAGUUAAGAGGCUCAAAAUCUCGAACCAAACUUUUUCUAUUUUGCCACUCACAAUAAGCAUAAACAUUCUUCUUGGAAUUAGUAAUUAUCCUUUUAUGUUUCUUUAA